UACGUAGGGCGCAAGCGUUGUCCGGAAUUAUUGGGCGUAAAGAGCUCGUAGGCGGCUUGUCACGUCGGGUGUGAAAGCCCGGGGCUUAACCCCGGGUCUGCAUUCGAUACGGGCUAGCUAGAGUGUGGUAGGGGAGAUCGGAAUUCCUGGUGUAGCGGUGAAAUGCGCAGAUAUCAGGAGGAACACCGGUGGCGAAGGCGGAUCUCUGGGCCGAUACUGACGCUGAGGAGCGAAAGCGUGGGGAGCAAACAGG
rnacentral:rRNA from 1 species